GACGUAGGGCGCGAGCGUUGUCCGGAUUUAUUGGGCGUAAAGAGCUCGUAGGCGGCUCGUUGCGUCAACCGUGAAAACCCGGGGCUUAACCUGGGAACCGCGCUUGAGACUGGCACGCUAGAGUUCGGGAGAGGAUGGUGGAAUUCCCAGUGUAGAGGUGAAAUUCGUAGAUAUUGGGAAGAACACCGAUGGCGAAGGCAGCCAUCUGGACCGACACUGACGCUGAGGCGCGAAAGCGUGGGGAGCAAACAGG
rnacentral:rRNA from 1 species